GACAACUGUAAUAGCAUAAUCAAUAAAAUAUAAUUUAAAAAAACAUUGGAAUCAUUACCUGUGUAAAUAAUAGCAAAUAAUAUUUGAAUCAGCAACAUUUAAUACCUGCUAUGUGACUGACAUUAUAUUGCAUAAAUGAAAAGCUAACAACAAAUAAAAUAAAUAGAAAUCAAAAAACCUGAUAUCACUUCAC